UACACUCCUGCGGGAGGCAGCAGUGGGGAAUUUUGGACAAUGGGCGAAAGCCUGAUCCAGCAAUGCCGCGUGAGUGAAGAAGGCCUUCGGGUUGUAAAGCUCUUUUGUCAGGGAAGAAACGGUGAGAGCUAAUAUCUUUUGCUAAUGACGGUACCUGAAGAAUAAGCACCGGCUAACUACGUGCCAGCAGCCGCGGUAAUACGUAGGGUGCAAGCGUUAAUCGGAAUUACUGGGCGUAAAGCGUGCGCAGGCGGUUUUGUAAGUCUGAUGUGAAAUCCCCGGGCUCAACCUGGGAAUUGCAUUGGAGACUGCAAGGCUAGAAUCUGGCAGAGGGGGGUAGAAUUCCACGUGUAGCAGUGAAAUGCGUAGAUAUGUGGAGGAACACCGAUGGCGAAGGCAGCCCCCUGGGUCAAGAUUGACGCUCAUGCACGAAAGCGUGGGGAGCAAACAGGAUUAGAAACCCGGGUAGUCCCAU
rnacentral:rRNA from 1 species